rnacentral:rRNA from 1 species
AACCUUUGACGAUUGACUCAUGUUGCCUCGGCGGGUGCUCCCGCCAGAGGAUACAUCAAAACUCCUGUUUUAACGGUGUUGUCUGAGCUACAAGCAACGAAUCAAAACUUUCAACAACGGAUCUCUUGGUUCUGGCAUCGAUGAAGAACGCAGCGAAAUGCGAUAAGUAGUGUGAAUUGCAGAAUUCAGUGAAUCAUCGAAUCUUUGAACGCACAUUGCGCCCCUUGGUAUCCCGAGGGGCAUGCCUGUUCGAGCGUCAUUUCACCACUCAAGCCUGGCUUGGUGUUGGGCGACGUCCCCUUUGGGGACGCGCCUCGAAACGCUCGGCGGCGUGGCACCGGCUUUAAGCGUAGCAGAAUCUUUCGCUUUGAAAGUCGGGGCCCCGUCUGCCGGAAGACCUACUCGCAAGGUUGACCUCGGAUCAGGCAGGGAUACCCGCUGAACUUAAGCAUAUCAAUAAGCGGAGGAA